rnacentral:rRNA from 1 species
AUGGUCAAGCAAGUAAGGGCGCAGGGUGGAUGCCUUGGCACUAAGAGCCGAAGAAAGACGUGAUAAGCUGCGAAAAGCCAUGGGGAGGAGCACAUAUCCAACGAUCCAUGGAUAUCUGAAUGGGGAAACCCACACGGUGAAGCCGUGUAUCCAUACGCCAAUUCAUAACGUAUGGAGGGGAACCCGGUGAACUGAAACAUCUAAGUAGCCGGAGGAAGAGAAAGAAACAUCGAUUCCGGAAGUAGCGGCGAGCGAAACCGGAAGAGCCCAAACCGGGAUGCGUGCAUCCCGGGGUUCGGACCGCAGAAGCGAUUCAUGGAAUUUAGCAGAAUGGUUUUGGGAAAGCCAGCCAGAGAGGGUGAAAGCCCCGUAAGCAAAAAAGGACAUGACGCGGCGGUAUCCAGAGUACAUCGAGACACGAGAAACCUUGAUGGAAUGAGCGGGGACCACCCCGUAAGGCUAAAUACUCCUUAGUGACCGAUAGAGCAUAGUACUGUGAAGGAAAGGUGAAAAGGACCCCGGGAGGGGAGUGAAAGAGAACCUGAAACCCUGUGUCUACAAACUGUGGGACACCAACAUUAGGUGAACUGCGUACUUUUUGUAGAACGGUCCGGCGAGUUGCGGAUGCAGGCAAGGUUAAGCGCUACAGGCGCGGAGCCGAAGGGAAACCAAGUCUUAAUAGGGCGUUAAGUCGGCAUACGCAGACCCGAAACCGGGUGAUCUAUCCAUGUCCAGGUUGAAGAUGCCGUAAAAGGCAUUGGAGGACCGAACCCACAUCCGUUGAAAAGGGUGGGGAUGAGGUGUGGAUAGGGGAGAAAUUCCAAUCGAACCCGGAGAUAGCUGGUUCUCCUCGAAAUAGCUUUAGGGCUAGCCUCGUAUGAGUCUUGUGGAGGUAGAGCACUGAAUUUCCGCGGGGGCGUCAAAGCUUACCAAAGAAUAUCAAACUCCGAAUGCCAUAAAGACGUUAUACGGGAGUCAGACUGGACGAGAUAAGUCGGGCAGUCAAAAGGGAAAGAGCCCAGACCUGCAGCUAAGGUCCCAAAGUGUGCAUUAAGUGGAAAAGGAUGUGGGGAUUCAAAGACAGCUAGGAUGUUGGCUCAGAAGCAGCCAUACAUUCAAAGAGUGCGUAACAGCUCACUAGUCGAGAGUCCCUGCGCCGAAAAUGUCCGGGGCUAAAAUGCACCACCGAAGCUCAGGAAUGUAUUAAUACAUUGGUAGAGGAGCAUUCUUAAAACUGAUGAAGCCGUACCGGAAGGGGCGGUGGAGGGAUAAGAAGAGAGAAUGCCGGAAUGAGUAGCGAGAGGAAGGUGGGAAUCCUUCCGGCCGAAUAUCUAAGGUUUCCAGGGUAAAGCUGAUCUGCCCUGGGUAAGUCGGGGCCUAAGGCGAGGCAGAAAUGCGUAGCCGAUGGACAACAGGUUGAGAUUCCUGUACCGUCUAUGGACAGAACUGUGGGGACGCGGAAGGAAAGUGUGAGCCGGGAAUGGAAAGACCGGUACAAGCGCAGGAGGCGUGCAGCCGGCAAAUCCGCUGCAUAAGCCAAAGGCGUUAAGUGGAGCGAAAUAUAAGUAGCGAAGCACACAGGCCGGCCGCCGAGAAAAGCCGCUAUAGUUUCAUAGAUGCCCGUACCGUAAACCGACACAGGUGGAUGAGGAGAGAAUCCUAAGGCCGACGGAAGAAGCAUUGUUAAGGAAUUCGGCAAAAUGGCCCCGUAACUUCGGGAGAAGGGGCGCCUGGGAAACCAGGCCGCAGAGAAUAGGCUCAAGCAACUGUUUAGCAAAAACACAGGUCUAUGCGAAACCGUAAGGUGAGGUAUAUGGGCUGACGCCUGCCCGGUGCUGGAAGGUUAAGAGGAGAGGUCAGCGCAAGCGAAGCUUUGAAUUUAAGCCCCAGUAAACGGCGGCCGUAACUAUAACGGUCCUAAGGUAGCGAAAUUCCUUGUCGGGUAAGUUCCGACCCGCACGAAAGGCGUAAUGAUUUGAGCACUGUCUCGACAAUGCAUCCGGUGAAAUUGAAGUGCCAGUGAAGAUGCUGGCUACCCGCGCCAGGACGGAAAGACCCCAUGGAGCUUUACUCCAGUCUGAUACUGGGAUUUGGUACUGCAUGUACAGGAUAGGUGGGAGGCUGUGAAGGAAGGACGCCAGUCUUUCCAGAGCCGCUGUUGGGAUACCACCCUUGCAGUACCGGGUUUCUAACCAGCGCCCGUAAGCCGGGGCUGGGACAAUGUCAGGCGGGGAGUUUGACUGGGGCGGUCGCCUCCGAAAGGGUAUCGGAGGCGCUCAAAGGUUCCCUCAGAAUGGUCGGAAACCAUUUAAAGAGUGCAAAGGCAGAAGGGAGCUUGACUGCGACACCGACGGGUGGAGCAGGUAGGAAACUAGGACUUAGUGAUCCGGUGGUAUAAAGUGGGAUUGCCAUCGCUCAACGGAUAAAAGCUACCCUGGGGAUAACAGGCUUAUCACUCCCAAGAGUUCACAUCGACGGAGUGGUUUGGCACCUCGAUGUCGGCUCAUCGCAUCCUGGGGCUGUAGCAGGUCCCAAGGGUUGGGCUGUUCGCCCAUUAAAGCGGUACGCGAGCUGGGUUCAGAACGUCGUGAGACAGUUCGGUCCCUAUCCGGCGCGGGCGCAGGAUAUUUGAAAGGAGCUGGCCUUAGUACGAGAGGACCGGGCUGGACGGACCACUGGUGUACCUGCUGUCUUACCAAAGGCAUGGCAGGGUAGCCAAGUCUGGAAGGGAUAAACGCUGAAGGCAUCUAAGCGUGAAGCCCCCCUUAAGAUGAGAUAUCCCCCGCAAAAGCGGGUAAGACCCCUUGAAGACGACAAGGUAGAUAGGGCAGGGGUG